rnacentral:rRNA from 1 species
ACCAGCACGUUAUGGUGGGCGACUCUAAGGAGACUGCGGUGACAAACCGGAGGAAGGUGGGGAGUGACGUCAGGUCAUCAUGGCCCUUACGGCCAGGGCUACACACGUGCUACAAUGGUCGGUACAGAGGGUUGCCAAGCCGCGAGGUGGAGCUAAUCUACACAAAACCGAUCGUAGUCCGGAUCGCAGUCUGCAACUCGACUGCGUGAAGUCGGAAUCGCUAGUAAUCGUGAAUCAGAAUGUCACGGUGAAUACGUUCCCGGGCCUU